rnacentral:antisense_RNA from 1 species
CUUCAGCGCGCCCAGCAGCAGCGGGCGGCCGUCCCUCUCCUUGCCGUAGGUGGCCAGCAGCGCCUGCGCCUC